GCUAGUUGAAGCAACAGGUGACGAAAGUCCAUUUUUAUUGCCGACAGUAAAGUUCAGUUAACCAUUAUGCUACAGUACUAAUAUCUGCAGGUGUGUUUGCCCAUAGAGUGGUGUUUUGCAUAGCUGUUGAGCCUCACUGCUCCUGACACUAAGACUGCAGUGUUAUCCUCGUUGUGUCCAGUCAGUCUUCUUAGAGCCACAGAUGAGGAAGAUGCUGAUCAUGCUGGCGUUCCUCCUGACUCAGGUUCAGAGUCAUCUGCACGUUUCCUGAAUCAAGCUGAUUAAUCAAAGUCUGUUUGCCUGGGAGAGAGUGGGUCUAUCAAAGCUGAACCCCUCUGGGGUUCCUGACUCAGGUGUCAUCUGCAAAUAAUUCCCUGAAUCAUGCUGA